GGGGUUGUGGCUCAGAGGUAGAGCACUCACCUGGCACAUGUGAGGCUCUGGGUUCAAUCUUCAGCAACACAU
rfam:Ictidomys tridecemlineatus contig003108, whole genome shotgun sequence.